UAAGGAAUAUUGGUCAAUGCCCGGAAGGGUGGACCAGCCAUCCCGCGUGAAGGAUGAAGGGGCUCUGCCUUGUAAACUUCUUUUGAAUGGGACGAAAAAGCCUCACUUGUGAGGAACUGACGGUACCAUUAGAAUAAGCACCGGCUAACUCCGUGCCAGCAGCCGCGGUAAUACGGAGGGUGCGAGCGUUAUCCGGAAUCACUGGGUUUAAAGGGUGCGUAGGCGGCUGUAUAAGUCAGUGGUGAAAGGCUGUGGCUUAACCAUGGGAUUGCCAUUGAUACUGUACGGCUUGAAUUAGGAUGAGGUUGGCGGAAUGUGACAUGUAGCGGUGAAAUGCUUAGAUAUGUCAUGGAACAUCGAUUGCGAAGGCAGCUGACUGGACCUUAAUUGACGCUGAGGCACGAAAGCGUGGGGAGCGAACAGGAUUAGAUACCCCCGUAGUCCCUGAGCGGGCUGGCAAGGCGCAU
rnacentral:rRNA from 1 species